AUGUCCUUAAAUCUCGCGCAUUCCGCAAGUAAAGUUAUUACCCAAAACAACUAAAGUUAAAUGUUGGGCGUGAAAAGCCAAAACCUGUGUCAUGGGAUGGUAAUUGGGGACCACAAUGUGUAAAUAUGCUGAGCUCUCUGUCGCUGUGUGUGUGUGCCUGCGUAUGUGAGUGUCCUUUGGAAGGGAACGUGCACUUUAGCAUAUGUGCCAGAGAGAGAUUUUGAAGAAAUCUGCAAUCCAAAACUUCAUUAGGCCAAGCGACUGUCGGGCAGUGACUGGAUGAGCAGGCAGUCAAAAAGUUUACCGUCUAAUAAAUUGAUAUAUAAAUAACUCCAUGCUUGUGCAUGACCACAA